rnacentral:lncRNA from 1 species
UGGGAAUCACUAUAUACGACAUUCUUUUUCCUUUCAUGAUAAGAUUACCCAUUUUGGUGGCACUGGUGAUCCAAAAGGCCAAGAAACAUAAACCUUUGCCAAAGGUGAUACAACACUAGUCUCGAGCCUAAGUGUUUUACUCCCAAACAAGUAGAAAUUUAAACGAUGGAAUACAUAUCCACCAUCGCAGCGAGCGACAUACUACUUCCCCAGAUGGG